UCGCGGCCACCGCAAGCCUUUCCUCCCACCCCGCCUCCUCUCGUCUCUUUGCCCCCGAUCUAGAUGGCGCCUCCAAUCUCGGCGGGGCGGCGACCUCGAGCGACGGCAGCACCGCUGGAUCUCCUCCACCCCCACUCAAUCAAUACUGGUACCCGAGGCUCUCCUCCUCGACCGACCGCGAGCAACGCCGCCGCCUCACCGUCUUCUUCUACCAUCACCAACCGCCUGCUCGCGUCCCCGCCAUCCCCUUGUUUGUGGUCUGUGAUGGAGUGAAGUAUCGAUGACCAUCACCUCUCCCCCGCCAUCAUAUUCCCUAGAGGUGGAUACAAAGCUUUGGGAUGACCCACUCGGUGCCGGCUGGAACACCCACGACGCCGGGCUCCUCGGCGUGGCUCCCGCGAGAAUGGGUGCACAUCGGAAUCUGUCCUGCAACGCCAGCGAUUCCAUGGCGAAGUGAUUGUGUUCGACAACAGUAACUUGGGUUGGUUUCCAUCUAUAGAUUGUAGAUGGGAAAUGAUACCUGGUGGAGGCAAUGUUCUGUACAAGUGUUUGAUUAGAACGACACUGCAAAUAAAUUGGUGACAAGAGGCAAAUUCUUGCGGUGCCCGAUGAGGACAUACUCCUACGUCGAUCCAUGUACGAACUGGGAGCAGCAUCGAUCCGAUGAACGCACAAGGAAUAUCCAACAGAUUACCCUUACUACUAUAUUUUUUAUCCAUGAAUGUCAUCUUGGGCCCCUGUACGAUUUGAUUACAUGAUGUUGUGUCCUCAAACUUUACUCUGAGUUAUUUGUUAGAUGCUCGGUGAAAUUCAGAAUUAUUUUUCUUCUGUCUUCCCAGUGAUGGAAGGUAGAUUGAGCUGAUAAAUUUCUGCACCCACCUUGAGGUCCAUAACGUUCUCCUAAUUGUAUGCAGCACAAUCGUAAAGAUGUAUUUGUUUGAGGGAGAGGACUGUCUCUUAUCAGAAGCAACAUUAUGUGAUCAUCAUGUGUUGGAUCUUGGUCCCCUGUAUGAGUUGAAUACAUGAUUGAUGGAAGGUAGAUUGAGCUGAAAAUUUUCUGCACCCACCUUGAGGUCCAUAAGGUUCUCCUAAUUAUAUGCAGCCCAAUCGUAAAGAUAUAUUUGUUUGCGGGAGAAGACUAUCAGUUAUCAGAAGCAACAUUAUGUGAUCAUCAUGUGUGAGAGAGACGGCAAGAGUAUGUGAUAUUUAUUUCUGUGUGGACUACUAAUAUGUAUUGACUGUUCAUGUUGCUACAGUAGGUUCAUGAUUGAUUAUGGCAACAAGGAAAUCACUCGAGAAGGAUUUUAUUAGUAUGCACACUUUGAGACUUGAGAGGCUGUUAUUGAUUAAGGAAUCUAUGUCUGCUAGAGAGGCUGAUGCCAAAUCAGCAUCGGAAAAGGGCAAGAUAAGGGGACUGAGGGAGCAUAGGAGAGCAAGAUGGGGUGGUCUGCAUCACCUUCAGUUGGCACAUGCGCAUGCACCUGCAGUAAUCAUUAUCUUUCCCAUGGUUAAGAUGUAUGAUGCAUGAACUUCUAAUAUUUUGAUGUUAAUUUCAAAUGGCUGAUGGAAGAUAAUUUGCUUCUAAUAGUUGUUAUGUAUUGACCCUUGCUUGUUCUUGUUGUAGAUGAAAUUGACCUGAUAGCUCUUAUGUUAGCACUUUCUAAAGUUCACAUUUAUUACAUGCCAUUUGUGUGCUCAAGAAAUAUCUGGACAAUCUUUUGCUAGCGGUAAGUUUCAUGUUUGUGACUUUUUGCUAUGUCAAACGAAGAACAGAAGCCCGAAGCCCGUUACUGUGUGAAGGAAUGGCCUCCUUCUGAAGAUAUUUAAUUCACCAUGCUUAUUCAGGUGCGAGUUAUGUUUUUGACUGAGAUAUUUUUCCACUUUAUUCCAUGUUAAAAAAUAAAUUAGUAUUCAGUUAUUGUAUGUGUGUGUUAGAUGAGUUGUUUCUUUCCAUCUUCAGGUCGAAGUAGUUGUUUGAGUGCAUUAGCCUUUUCAUUUUC